rnacentral:rRNA from 1 species
ACGAACGCUGGCGGCGUGCCUAAUACAUGCCAGUAGAACGCACAGUUUAUACCGUAGCUUGCUACACCAUAAACUGUGAGUUGCGAACGGGUGAGUAACGCGUAGGUAACCUGCCUGGUAGCGGGGGAUAACUAUUGGAAACGAUAGCUAAUACCGCAUAAUAUUGAUUAUUGCAUGAUAAUUGAUUGAAAGAUGCUAUUGCAUCACUACCAGAUGGACCUGCGUUGUAUUAGCUAGUAGGUGAGGUAACGGCUCACCUAGGCGACGAUACAUAGCCGACCUGAGAGGGUGAUCGGCCACACUGGGACUGAGACACGGCCCAGACUCCUACGGGAGGCAGCAGUAGGGAAUCUUCGGCAAUGGACGAAAGUCUGACCGAGCAACGCCGCGUGAGUGAAGAAGGUUUUCGGAUCGUAAAGCUCUGUUGUAAGAGAAGAACGGGUGUGAGAGUGGAAAGUUCACACUGUGACGGUAUCUUACCAGAAAGGGACGGCUAACUACGUG